GCUGGGCGUGGUGGCGGGCGCCUGUAGUCCCAGCUACUCGGGAGACUGAGGCAGGGGAAUCGCUUGAACCCAGGAGGUGGAGGUUGCAGUGAGCCGAGAUUGCGCCACUGCACUCCAGCCUGGGUGACAAAGCGAGACUCUGUCUCAA
rnacentral:SRP_RNA from 1 species